UUUAACAUUCAAAUGUAGUCCAUCGGAGUUUCUCUCUCUGCAGUAAAAUUUAAAUGCUUGGCAGUUCAGCUCGAGAAAGGCCCUCAGUGUCUGGUACCUUAAUUUGCCAGGGGAUCUUCCCAACACAGUUCCAAUGGAAGCGAUUCCAUUUCCAGGCUUGGCAGGUAGACCGGCGGGGGGCAAUGAGAUCGACACAGUAGCUCCAUUGACCUUCAGUUUGGUAGAUAGCUUAAUCCUCUUCUCUCCCACACUUUUCCUUCAGAACCUCCCAACACUGAACCAGCUCUGGCAAAGCAUGUAGCAACAUCAUUAUCAAUGGGUACAUCCCUGGAAAGUAUGUAGCAACAUCAUUAUCAAUGUGUACAUCCUUGGAAAGUACAUUGCCAAGAGAUGAACAAUGAAGGCAUCCUUGAACUCCUGGAUAGAAAAUUUCAGUCACUUUUCAAAUGAGCAAUGGAUCACCCACCCACCCCCAACCAGGUAAAGAAAAGACAGCAUUGGUGAUGAAAAGUUCAUAAGAUGCACAAGAUGACCAUUGCUAUGAUUGUUUCCAACUCCAUUCUUGCCAACAACUCCCUGCCAUGUCUGAUCAUCCAAACCCACUCUACCAUUAA